rnacentral:misc_RNA from 1 species
UUUCCGUAGGUGAACCUGCGGAAGGAUCAUUAGAGAAGUUAAAGGUCCCCUCUACUAGGAUUGUAGCUGGCCGGAGACGGCAAGUGCUCGUCCGAAUGGGACGGACUACUUCACUACCAACCCCACUGUGAACCAAGCGGGAGGUCGAAAGGCCUCUUGCAUAUACCAUAUACCCCAAUGUAUGUCCUAGAAUGUCAUAGCGUUAAUUCGCAAAUAUACAACUUUCAACAACGGAUCUCUUGGCUCUUGCAUCGAUGAAGAACGCAGC